rnacentral:rRNA from 1 species
UACUCCUACGGGAGGCAGCAGUGGGGAAUAUUGCGCAAUGGGGGCAACCCUGACGCAGCCAUGCCGCGUGAAUGAAGAAGGCCUUCGGGUUGUAAAGUUCUUUCGGUAGCGAGGAAGGCAUUUAGUUUAAUAGACUAGGUGAUUGACGUUAACUACAGAAGAAGCACCGGCUAACUCCGUGCCAGCAGCCGCGGUAAUACGGAGGGUGCGAGCGUUAAUCGGAAUAACUGGGCGUAAAGGGCACGCAGGCGGUGACUUAAGUGAGGUGUGAAAGCCCCGGGCUUAACCUGGGAAUUGCAUUUCAUACUGGGUCGCUAGAGUACUUUAGGGAGGGGUAGAAUUCCACGUGUAGCGGUGAAAUGCGUAGAGAUGUGGAGGAAUACCGAAGGCGAAGGCAGCCCCUUGGGAAUGUACUGACGCUCAUGUGCGAAAGCGUGGGGAGCAAACAGGAUUAGAUACCCUGGUAGUCCACGCUGUAAACGAUGUCGAUUUGGGGGUUGAGCUUUGAGCUUGGCGCCCGUAGCUAACGUGAUAAAUCGACCGCCUGGGGAGUACGGCCGCAAGGUUAAAACUCAAAUGAAUUGACGGA